UAUUAUUGAUAUUUUUAUAUGAAUAAGCUUAUUAUUAAUAAGCUUAUUUUUGUAAAAUUAUAAAAAUACUUUUACAAUAAUAUGUUUAUUCUUAUUAAAGUAUCUUGUUAGUGUUUUUCUAAUAUACAGUAAUAUAAUUUUAAAAUACAGUAAUAUAAUUUAUAUUUUUUAUUAUUUUUUUUAUUGCUUUUUUUUUAGUUACAUAGGUUGUUGUACGUAAAGCAGAACUGAUUUGAUAACUGUUAUUUUUAUUGACUGUUGACAAUUUCAAGAUGUUUUUUUUUUUUUUUUUGAUUAUAUAACAUUUUUGUUAUCUUUAGGCCAAUUUGCACAGACUACAGCUGUAUCUACCUCUUGUACUACACCUGUAUCUACCUCUUGUGCUACACCUGUAUCUACCUCUUGUGCUACACCUGGUAAGUUAAACAACUAUUAGUUUUUACUAUGCAAACUUUAUAAUAUGUUUAACUUUAGUUCCUUAGUCAUCUUUUGCAACUAGUAAUUUAAUAAAAUACUACAUUUAAUAUGUAUAUACAUUUCUUGUUAUUUGCUAUAUUGAUUUUUUGAUACAACUUUGUAAUUUUAGUAUCUACCUCUUGUGCUACACCUGGUAAGUUAAACAACUAUUAGUUUUUACUAUGCAAACUUUAUAAUAUGUUUAACUUUAGUUCCUUAGUCAUCUGCUGCAACUAGUAAUUUAAUAAACUAUUACAUUUAAUAUGUAUAUGCAUUUCUUGUUAUUUGCAAUAUUGAUUUUUUUUUUACAACUUUGUAAUUUUAUUUUAAAAUAGUUAGUAUAAUAAUUAAGUCAAGUUUUGUGGCUUGCAAAUAG